rnacentral:rRNA from 1 species
AUGGAUGGAUCAAUUAUGGGCAUGGGUGGCAACAAGGUUAACUAUGGUGGAUUGUACAACAUCCAGGGGUGGGGCGCACCCUACUUCACGGUGAACAUGGAAGGCAACCUGUGUGUGAAGGCGGAUGGGCAGGAGACCAAGGCAGGGCAGGAGAUGGACGUGCUGCACGUCAUUCAAGCUGCAAAGCAAAAGAGGAAGGACAUCCAGUUUCCGAUGAUCCUCCGGUUCCCCAAUGUGCUCAAGCACCGCCUCGACGCUCUCCACGCCGCAUUCCACACGGCCAUCAGCCGCACCAGCUACGGGCUGGAGGCAGGCUCCAAGCCGGAGUUGCUCAUCGCGAUGAGCUGCCUCACAAAGGAGGCUAAUUCCAGAGCCUUCCUGGUUUGCAAUGGGUACAAGGACGCCGAGUACGUGAGGCUGGCGCUGUCGGCGCGUGCCAUAGGCCUGAAUGCUAUCAUGGUGCUGGACAUGGAGGAGGAGCUGGACAUCAUCAUCCACCAGAGCAGCAAGCUCGGGGUGGAGCCGGUCAUCGGCGUGCGCGCCAAGUUGCUCACCAAGAUACCAGGCCACUACGGGUCCACGGCCGGCAAGCACGGCAAGUUUGGCCUGCCCGCGGACAGGAUCUACGAGGUGGCCAAGAAGCUCAAGGGUCUCAACAAGUUGCACUGGCUCAAGCUGCUGCACUUCCACGUGGGCUCCAUGAUCCCGACCACGGAGCUAGUGGCCAAAGCGGCCACGGAGGCCGCCGACAUCUACUGCACCCUGGUGAACAAGUACGACGCGGUGGAGAUGACCACUCUAGACUGCGGCGGGGGGCUCGGCAUCGACUACGACGGCACCCGGUCAGCCGACUCCGACAUUUCCGUGGCGUACGGGCUGGAGGAGUACGCGUCCAGCAUCGUGCAGGCAGUGCGGACCACGUGCGACAAGGCCAUGGUCUCGCACCCUGUGUUGUGCACCGAGAGCGGCCAGGCCAUGGUGUCGCACCACUCCAUGAUCAUCCUCGAAUCGCUCUCAGCGAUCCCCGAGCCCAAGGACGACGACGACGACACCCCGGAGCAGCUGCGCACCAAGAUCCAGCAUCACUACUCUGCUUCCAAUCUGCCGACGUCGACAGCAGUCAUGGACCUCCAGAAGCACGGGAUCGAGGCGUACAAGCUGGCCAAGAAGCUCUCCAAAAGGAUCGCCGGCGACGCCAACACCAUCUACAACUACCACAUGAACCUCUCCGUCUUCUCGCUGCUUCCUGACGUGUGGGGCAUCAAAUGGCGCUUCCCGAUGAUGCCUGUGAGCCGGCUCAAUGAGGAGCCUACCCGAAUGAGCACACUCAUCGACCUAACCUGCGACAGCGACGGCAAGAUCGACAAGUUCAUAGGAAACGCCGAGACGCUCCCGCUUCACCCACUAGACCCUGAGCGCGGUGGCUGCUACUACCUCGCCGUGCUGCUUUCCGGCGCAUACCAGGAAGCCCUUUCUAACAAGCACAACCUGUUCGGCGGCCCGAGCAUAGUGCGGGUCGAGAAAAGCACCGCCGCUGCCACCGGCUUCCAAAUUGCCACAGCCGACCUGGGCCCGACGACGGAGGAGCUCAUCAGCACCAUGAGGUACAAUGUCAGGCAGGACAUCGUGGGCGUCAUCCAGAGGCGGGCCAUAGAGAUAGGGGUGUGGGGAAUGGUGGGGGAGGCAGUGCACACUGGGCUUACCACCAUGCCGUACCUCAUCAUGGAAGAUCACGCUGCCUCUUCAUGGAAGCACCAAGGAGGACUAGAUGGAAAAGACGAGUCGAUCAUCAAGAUGGUGUUUCGGCAAGUUUCCCGUCUCCUCUGCUUGCCCUUCAUGUGGUCCAUCCCAUCAAAACGAAUCGGAUCAGCAGCCUGA